UUUGGUGAUUUGGUGUUUACUACUAAGGUUAAGAAUGUUGAAAUUUGUAUGGAUCUGAAACAAUUGGGAACCUGUAUGGAAAUCCCUUCUGAAGGUGAAGAAAUCCGUCACAGAAUUGAACCCGACACUGAUGCCUGGAGCAAUUAUAACAGUAUGGAAUAUUUUGUUUCAAUUUCUAGAGGCACUCAGGCUAGCCUCAUGAGCCGGUAGAAAUCAGAAUCC
rnacentral:lncRNA from 1 species